UACGGAGGGUGCGAGCGUUAAUCGGAAUUACUGGGCGUAAAGGGUGCGUAGGUGGUUAAUUAAGUUAUCUGUGAAAUUCCUGGGCUUAACCUGGGCCGGUCAGAUAAUACUGAGUAACUCGAGUAUGGGAGAGGGUAGUGGAAUUUCCGGUGUAGCGGUGAAAUGCGUAGAGAUCGGAAGGAACACCAGUGGCGAAGGCGGCUACCUGGCCUAAUACUGACACUGAGGCACGAAAGCGUGGGGAGCAAACAGG
rnacentral:rRNA from 1 species